rnacentral:rRNA from 1 species
UACGUAGGGUGCGAGCGUUAAUCGGAAUUACUGGGCGUAAAGCGUGCGCAGGCGGUUUUGUAAGCCAGAUGUGAAAUCCCCGGGCUUAACCUGGGAAUGGCAUUUGGGACUGCAAGGCUUGAGUGCGGCAGAGGAGACUGGAAUUCCUGGUGUAGCAGUGAAAUGCGUAGAUAUCAGGAGGAACACCGGUGGCGAAGGCGGUUCUCUGGGCCUUACCUGACGCUGAGGAGCGAAAGCGUGGGGAGCAAACAGG